rnacentral:lncRNA from 1 species
CUACAGAGUGGGUCUAGGUCCAGGUACAGUCUCAGAACCACACUGCAAAACUGGCUUAGUCAGGUAGCUGCUGUAUCUGCUGCUUCCACUGUGAACUCAAAAACCACAUUGCCUGUGCUGCAGGCCGGAAAGCUGCUGAACCAGGAAGCUGUGCUGAUGCUGCUGACUGCCCCUGAGGUUAGAGAUUGACUAGACAUAGUGCCACUGUCAUCCCUGCUGGAGAAGGUCCGAAGCACCUCCACCUCUGUGCUUCCAGAGGGGCACUGUGGUGGCCACUUAAAAUGCUCAGGCUAUACCAUGCACUAGAGCAUCUACCUGGGCAAGGGAUAUGCUGUAUGACACUCUCCUGAUGCUGGGCAUGGCUGUGAGCCAAAGCACCCAGGCAGCCCUGCCAUCAGAAGGGUAAACCACGGACACCUGAUGCCUUCCUGAAGGAAGAGCACUACGCCUGCCAAACCAUCAAGCGUUGAUGCUCCAGCGCCUUCUACCCGUGGUUCUCCAGCCUCAGCAGAAGAGAGAGAAAUUGAUGACCCUGUCGUUGUAGCAUCCCCAUCACCCAGCAAUUAAUUUUAGUUCAAUGCUUCAAACGCUCUUCAGGCGCAGUGUGCGUUCAGCUGUGUCAGCUAAUGCAAAUGGGGGAUCUCAGAAGUCUUAAUGAAGUAACUAUCCCUGAACACUGGGAUCAAUACUCAGCAUCCAGCUGUCAAAUCAACACCAAGGUCUAUACCUAACUGGAGACACUGAGAAGAAGAAUCAGGGAUGAAUGCAAGAAGCGUUUCACUCGUCGCCCAGCCUAGAGUGCAAUGGCGCUAUUUCGGCUCAUUAUAACCUCCGCCUCCCGGGUUCAAGCAAUUCUUCUGCUUCAGCGUCCCAAGUAGCUGGGAUUACAGGCCUUCAGUUGCAAAGUUCUCCAUUGUCAGAUUACGCUGCCUGAUGGGCAUGAAAAGUCCACAAAAGAGAAUUUUCUGAUGUGAGAAUGGAGGGUGUUGCCUGCAACUACCCCAGAUCCCUGCGGUGGCAGUUUAAGCCGCCUCCUGGAGCAGAUUGUUAAGCUGAUGCGAGUCUGGGCUCUGCCUCACCACUUGUCUCAGAGAAUGUCCAGUGCUAGGAGACUCAUAAGUUGGAGAGAAACGGCCUGAUUUAUAGAAACUGAGCGAGACUCCGGACCACCUGAUGCAGAGAAACCUGUGACCUGAAAAAGUCUAUUUGUGUUUCCUCUAGGAAUCUCGGCCAAGAAGACAGGGACAAGCUCCCAACUCUGACUACCCCUUUUACAGGGAAAAAAAAAAAAUCCCGUGCCUUCUUUGCAGCAAGUGACAAAUCCUUGUCAUAUCGAGAUGGCUUUUCCUCCUCCUCUUCAAACAUCUUUUAGCAGCAACAGCAGCUCAAGUAACUGGAAUUAUUUCAGAGUUAAAAUGCAGGCUUUGUAGACCCUCUUAGACAGACAGAUUCAAUUUCAAAGGAAACUUCUUUGGCUGGGUACUCAGUGAGUGUUACACAGGGAUUUGGGGAGUUAAUAUUCACUGUUUCUGUUGUUGGAGAAAAGGAAAGCAGAGUUGCUCUUUCUCAUUACUCUCCCCAACGCACAUCUGUUUCCUCUCGUAUCUUGGAAUUAGGAAGAUGGAGGAGACUUAAGUGGUGACCCACCUAGCCUCCUGAUGCAUGCUGGGCUCACUUUAAAACUCCCAAAACAGAUGGCAGUUGAUCACGGUUUUAAAGAUCCCAGCAUAGACUUUCUGCAGCCUCCCUUGUUAGCCACUAUCAGCGCUUAACAUUCUGUCAUCUGAAUAACUCCUUAAAAAUGAUAGCAAUGGUAGUAGAAAUUUAAAAGGAACCUCCCAAAAAACAUGCAAAAGCUUACCACCCCAGUAAAUCACCCGCAACAAUGUCGCAACAGUUUAAAUUUACUGCAGAGAGAGCUGAAGUUUAGGAGACACAGCUUUAUAAUAUUUUUGAGAGAUAGUUGAGUGCAAAUGAGUCCUGUUCCUCUUGCAUCAGGGCCUGCUCCACUGAGUCAUCCUGCCUUCAGAAGCUUCCAGCUAAGUGGCAGGCCCCGGCCAUAGGCUCCCUGUGUCCCCAGCCUCCAGAGAACACACAAUGUUCUCAUCGCCCUUAGCUCCAUUCCAGAAGGGGCCUGCAGUUCUGCAGCUUAUCAGGGGUCUACUGGGAAGUGAGAUGUCACUGUCCCUUUCUGGCCCUGCAUUGUCUGUGAGUGGCUCUCCUGGAUUAAGAGUUGGCAAAGUAUGGCCAGUGGCCAGGACUGGCCUGCUGCCUGUUUUUGUUUAACCCGUGAGCUAAGAAUAGUUUUUACCUAUUUUAAGUAGUUGAAAAAAAAAUCAAGAGAAGAAUACUAUUUCGUGAUAUGUGAAAAAUCACAUGAAAUUCAAAUGUAAGUGUCCAUAAAUAAAGUCUUACUGGAA